rnacentral:rRNA from 1 species
GACUGAGUGGCGGACGGGUGAGUAACGCGUGAGCAACCUGCCCUUCGGAACGGGAUAGUGUCUGGAAACGGACAGUAAUACCGUAUAACGUAUUUUUACCGCAUGAUAGAAAUACCAAAACUGAGGUGCCGAAGGAUGGGCUCGCGUCUGAUUAGAUAGUUGGUGGGGUAACGGCCUACCAAGUCGACGAUCAGUAGCCGGACUGAGAGGUUGAACGGCCACAUUGGGACUGAGACACGGCCCAGACUCC